rnacentral:tRNA from 1 species
GGGGUUGUGGCUCAGUGGUAGAGCGCUUGCCUUGUAUGCAUGAGGUUCUGGGUUCAAUCCUCAGCACCA